GUUUUAGACGAUUUAUAAUUUUACAUUUUUAUUACAAGCCUUCCACCAUUUUAAAAUGGAAUUCCUUUUCUUAUUGAGAUGAGAUAAUCUGCUGAAGAUUUAAUUAAAAUUUUCGAAUUUUUUUUGUUGAAAUCUUGAAGUGAAUCUACCGAAGUAUUUUUGGUGAUUAUGGAAUAAGUAGAUAUCUGCUUUCUUCUUUUUUCGUAAAUACAUGUAUAGAGGUACAAAUAGUUUUGAAAUAAUGAAAGAGCUUAGGUCGUUUGCAUAUAUUACUUGAGCGUCCUUCGGGGGGGGGGGAUGCAGGUGAAGGUAUAACAAAAAUAGGUACGUACCUACGAGUAAGUUAGUGAACUUUAAAAUUGUAUAAUGAAACAAUUUUAAUUUUACCUUAGCUACCGAAUGAUGUCGAAACACUGCAACAAAUGGUUAAAUCUUGGAAGAAAGACUAUGAAUAUUUGAAAAAAGUGUUUCUAGGAGAAGUUCCAUAACGUCAUCGACGAACAUUACGAACAAUGUUGAAAAAAAAUGAAGGAAUCGGAUCAAAUGACCGAAGAGUGUAAGAUCUAUAGGGUAUAGGAAUUCAGCAACCGGAGUUCUGGAGUUGAAGUAGAACAAAUUAGAUAGGUAGAUACAUGUAUUUUCCCAAUAUUAAAAAUCAAGGAUCUGCUUUUAAAUUCCCUCAUCCGUUCUAAGUUAUGUCAUUUGCAAGUUCGGUCACCUUCUCGCUGGAAUUCCGAUCUCUGAACAACCGAACCUAACCGAAAAAUAUAUUUCAGUAUUGCUCAACGCAUCUGAGCACAGGAGUUUUCUAUUACUGUGACAAUUAACACAAAUUGAUGAAAGUUGAGAUGUUAGGUACUUUUUGAAGACCACUGAAAUUUAAAAUGCGGAUGGAAAAGGAAUAUGUGGACUACAAAAUAAAUGAAUUUUAUUCCGGCUAUAAUUGGUACGAAAAACUACAAAAUAUAUCCCAAAUUUAAAUUUGGGAUAUAUUUUGUAGUUUUUUGUAAUAGUUAUAUCCGGAAUAAAAUUCAUUUAUCUUGUAAUCGACGUACUUAUUCUUUUUCCGUCCAUAUUUUAUUGGGAUUCCCGCAUGUAAAUAGCCGUAGGUAGUUAUAUACCUAAGUAAGUAAAUGGAUUAGAGUCACUCUAGUCAAAUGAAAAUACCUAUGUCGAUCGUUUGUUGUCAUUGUGCGUCUUUGUGUUAUUGAUUAAUAUUUUUUUACCACGUGUUUCUUUUGUAUUUUAAUAAAAUAAUUUGAGUUUUUUUA